GACCUUGUAUUCACUUAGUGAUUUUAGAAUGCAAUUCUAUAGGGGUGGAACUUGGACUCCACCAAGGCCU
rnacentral:tRNA from 1 species